rnacentral:lncRNA from 1 species
ACGAAAAGCUCCCCAAAACACCUGAAGCAGGGUACCAUGGGAAAGAGAUUUGAGUUCAAAAUUAACUCCGAACAGUGUCUACAGACGAUACUCGGUAACAUAGCAUAAAUCAGCCAUAAUCGGCUCUCUUUCAUGUAAAAAACACAAAUGAACAUGUGCAGAGGCAUGUCAGAGUGCAUGCGUGCACGUGUGUCAUACAUUAAAAUCAAAAUAUUAAGACUCUUUUCUAAAUUUCUUGUUCACAGAAAACUAAUUGUUUGGUAAAAAAGGGCAAUAUAAAAUCUAAUUAAUAAUGAAAUUUUAAUUAAAAACAAAAACAAAACAUUCUGAGACCAUAUUUUUCAAAAUUAUUUUCUGAACAGUUAAUGGUAAAAUAAAAAUAAAAUGCAGUAUAAAUAAAAAAAAAUCUUAUAUCUGUAGUCCAAUACGCAUAUAAAUAAAUACAAAAAUGAAUAAAAAUGGUUCUUAGCAUACAAAAAGCAAUAAAAAGAGUUCUUAUCAUUAGUAUAAAAUUGUCUAUUCAGUUCAGCUUCUCUAUGCCAAUGCCCUGCCUACUUAAAGGCCUCUGGGAUAUGGUUCAUCUGCAUACUGGUGGGCGGGCUUGAGAUACCCUCUGACCAAUCAGACAGGUUGGAAUGUGGAGACGAGCUUGACCAUUGGUCGGGAGAUCCAGGGGAGGGUGUGAGGAAAGGGUGGUCAGGAAUCUGCUGCUGGUGGCUGGGCGUGUUGUCCAUAGGGUUGGAAUAGCUAUGUUGAGAAGGUGGAGUCAGAAACUGCGUGCUAGAAAUGGGCGGAGCCAUGCGCUGGCUCUCCUGUGAUAGGAUGGUCUGGAUGGGGGCGUGUCCUGAGCCGGACUGAAGAUCCAGCCCACUUAGGUCACCUAGGAAGUGAUGCGAGAGGGCGUGGAUGGAGGUGGCGCUGUUUUGGUGCUGCAUGGGCGGCAUAUUCUGGUGGGUGUGGUUGUGAAUCAUGUGCGACGGGGCGCCGAGGUGGCUGCUUUGCAUUGUGGGAUAGCCCAUGACCUGUGGCAUAUUGGUGGCAGAGAGCAUUGUGGGUAUCAGGGUUGUAAAGCCUGCCUGCUGUUGCUGCACUCUUUGCAGCCAAUCGCACGCUGCCGUUUGUUGAACUCCGCCUCCAUUGUUAGGCACUGGCAUAUGGGAUAAGCGAGGAGGAGGGGCGGAGUCAAACUGCUUCCCUAAACUCUGAAGAGCUCCACCCAUGUGGGAGUCAGCCAACCCUUGGAGUUCGAUUUAAAGUGAUGGGCGGGGACUGCUGAAAUGGUGAUGUCAUCGUGGGCGGGGACGAGACGUCCGACAGGUAACCGUGCGGCGACUCCAGCGAAUCGACUGGCGAGAGGAUGCCCACUUCCGUAAUGCCUCCAUUUUUGCCCUCUCCGCUCUUUUUCUUUUUCAUUCUCAUGUCUUUUCCGCCAUCCUUCCCUCCUACGCCUUUACCGCCCUGUUUCCGUGCCUUCUUGGCCGUGUUGUUGUUGUUGGCGCCGCCCGGGCUGGGUUUGAUGCCCAGGUAGGUGUUCGGCGAGCAGAGAGGGGGCGAUAAGGGCAGCGUGGGGCUCUGGACCACGCGUGGAAGCUGGUCUAGGUGAUCCGCGAUCUCACGGUUGGCCAAGUGAUCAAGAAGGACUUUAGCGGUUUCGUAACUCCCCUCACGAGCGGCCAGGAAAAGUGGUGUCUCCUCCUGCAAACCAUAUUAUCAUUAAUAUUUUUGUUAACUGAAAUAAAGCUGAAAUAAAAUAUCAGAACAAACUAAAUGUAAAUUAGAAAUGUUGCCUUGGUAACCAACUAAGUUUAAGAUGAAGCACUAAAAUUACCAACUGGAAAUAAAUAAAACUAGAAACUAAAAAAAAAAAAAAAAAAAAAAUUAAAUAAAAAUAAACAAACUAAAAUAAAAAAAAAAAAAAAAUUAAAAUAAAAAAAUAGACACAUAAAAUUAAAACUUAAAAAGAAAAUUUAAAUAAAAAACAAAAGACUAUUAAAUACAUUAGUAAAAACUAUAAUAACUAUAUAAAUGAUACUAGAAUAAAACUGCUAUAAAAACACAGGUUAUUACAAUUUUUGAUUUAGAAUAAUUUGCACUGAUGAAUCAUGCACAAUGCUGUUUUAAUUUUUAAUGUUUAAUGUAAUAUAUUAGAUGAAAAACUUAGAAAUGUUUUCUUGCCAACUAACUGAAAAAUUGGAAAUAAAUGGAAAAAAAAACAAAAAAAAAAUUAAAUAAGAAAUUAAAAAUAAAUUAAACAAAUAUUACAUUAAAAAUACAAAUGCACAUAACAUAACUAAAAAUUAAACAAAAAGUUGAAAUGAAAACUUAAAAAAUCAAUUCAAAAUAUUAAUAAAAACUACUAUAAUACUAAAACAACAUGGCUUAAAAAAACUUAAAAAGUUAUUACAUUUUAAUGUGGAAUAAUUCAAAAUAACAGGUUUAAUUUUCAAUUAUUUAGGAAAUAAAAUGGAAAAAAAAACAAAAAAAAAAUUAAAUAAAGAAAUUAAAAAUAAAUUAAACAAAUAUUAACAUUAAAAAUACAAAUGCACAUAACAUAACUAAAAAUUAAACAAAAAGUUGAAAUGAAAACUUAAAAAAUCAAUUCAAAAUAUUAAUAAAAACUACUAUAAUACUAAAACAACAUGGCUUAUAAAAACUUAAAAAGUUAUUACAUUUUAAUGUGGAAUAAUUCAAAAUAACAGGUUUAAUUUUCAAUUAUAAAGUCAUUGACACAAUUUUAUUUUACUGUAAAUGCACAAACCCACCUUGUUAUUCUGUAGGUCUUUGUUUGCUCUAUUCUUCAGAAGAAUGACAGCAGCGUCCACAUUAUUAACUGCAGCCGCCCAGUGAAGAGCCGAUUUACCUACAGAAACAUAAAAACAGAAUGAAUUCGCGAGGACA